rnacentral:rRNA from 1 species
AUUGAACGCUGGCGGCAGGCCUAACACAUGCAAGUCGAGCGAGCGGUGGACGGGUGAGGAAUGUAUGGGGACUGCCCGAUACAGGGGGAUAACUACUGGAAACGGUAUCUAAUACCGCAUACUAUCCGAUAACCCAUAUGGGAUUAGCUAGUCGGUGAGGUAAUGGCGCACCUAGGCGACGAUCCCUAGCUGGUCUGAGAGGAUGAUCAGCCACACUGGGACUGAGACACGGCCCAGACUCCUACGGAGGCAGCAGUGGGGAAUAUUGCGCAAUGGGCGCAAGCCUGAUGCAGCCAUGCCGCGUGUAUGAAGAAGGCCUUAGGGUUGUAAAGUGCUGUCAGUAGGGAGGCGUUACCGACAGAAGAAGCACCGGCUAACUCCGUGCCAGCAGCCGCGGUAAUUC